rnacentral:rRNA from 1 species
GAGUUCCCUGGAACGGGACGCCAUAGAGGGUGAGAGCCCCGUACGNNUGGAUGCCUAGCCUCUGUGAAACUCCUUCGACGAGUCGAGUAGUUUGNAAAUGCUGCUCUAAAUGGGAGGUAUACGUCUUCUAAAGCUAAAUACCGGCCAGAGACCGAUAGCGCACAAGUAGAGUGAUCGAAAGAUGAAAAGCACUUUGAAAAGAGGGUUAAAAAGUACGUGAAAUUGUUGAAAGGNAAGCGUUCNUGANCAGACUUGGGCAGGUUGAUCAUCCGUGGUUCUCCGCGGUGCACUCUGCCUGCCCAGNNCAGCAUCAGUUCG